GGGACACGUGGUAUCCUGUCUGAAUAUGGGGGGACCAUCCUCCAAGGCUAAAUACUCCUGACUGACCGAUAGUGAACCAGUACCGUGAGGGAAAGGCGAAAAGAACCCCGGCGAGGGGAGUGAAAAAGAACCUGAAACCGUGUACGUACAAGCAGUGGGAGCACCUUCGGGUGUGACUGCGUACCUUUUGUAUAAUGGGUCAGCGACUUAUAUUCUGUAGCAAGGUUAACCGUAUAGGGGAGCCGCAGGGAAACCGAGUCUUAACUGGGCGUUAAGUUGCAGGGUAUAGACCCGAAACCCGGUGAUCUAGCCAUGGGCAGGUUGAAGGUUGGGUAACACUAACUGGAGGACCGAACCGACUAAUGUUGAAAAAUUAGCGGAUGACUUGUGGCUGGGGGUGAAAGGCCAAUCAAACCGGGAGAUAGCUGGUUCUCCCCGAAAGCUAUUUAGGUAGCGCCUCGUGAACUCAUCUUCGGGGGUAGAGCACUGUUUCGGCUAGGGGGUCAUCCCGACUUACCAACCCGAUGCAAACUACGAAUACCGAAGAAUGUUAUCACGGGAGACACACGGCGGGUGCUAACGUCCGUCGUGAAGAGGGAAACAACCCAGACCGCCAGCUAAGGUCCCAAAGUCAUGGUUAAGUGGGAAACGAUGUGGGAAGGCACAGACAGCCAGGAUGUUGGCUUAGAAGCAGCCAUCAUUUAAAGAAAGCGUAAUAGCUCACUGGUCGAGUCGGCCUGCGCGGAAGAUGUAACGGGGCUAAACCAUGCA
rnacentral:rRNA from 1 species